UACGUAGGUGGCAAGCGUUGUCCGGAAUUAUUGGGCGUAAAGCGCGCGCAGGCGGUCCUUUAAGUCUGAUGUGAAAGCCCACGGCUCAACCGUGGAGGGUCAUUGGAAACUGGGGGACUUGAGUGCAGAAGAGGAAAGCGGAAUUCCACGUGUAGCGGUGAAAUGCGUAGAGAUGUGGAGGAACACCAGUGGCGAAGGCGGCUUUCUGGUCUGUAACUGACGCUGAGGCGCGAAAGCUAGGGGAGCAAACGGG
rnacentral:rRNA from 1 species